rnacentral:rRNA from 1 species
CAGUCGCCGCGGUAAUACGUAGGUGGCAAGCGUUGUCCGGAAUUAUUGGGCGUAAAGCGCGCGCAGGCGGAUCAGUUAGUCUGUCUUAAAAGUUCGGGGCUUAACCCCGUGAUGGGAUGGAAACUGCUGAUCUAGAGUAUCGGAGAGGAAAGUGGAAUUCCUAGUGUAGCGGUGAAAUGCGUAGAUAUUAGGAAGAACACCAGUGGCGAAGGCGACUUUCUGGACUGUAACUGACGCUGAGGCUCGAAAGCCAGGGGAGCGAACGGGAUUAGAGACCCCCGUAGUCCCUGUCUCUUAUACA